AGCAUCUGCAUUUAUUUAAAAAAAAGAAAGAAAAAGAAAGUGAUAUUAAAACCAACCUUUAUUUUCUGGUUUUGCUAGUUUAGAACUUUGACAGUAGAAUCUCUUUUUACUCCUGAAACUUCAGCUUCACAGAGAAUGAGUCUUUCAUUGCUUUGAAUUACUACUAUAUAUGAAGAAUACGUUUACUCGACCGCCUUUUCAGCCUGGAAACUGAAGUAAGUGGGUUUUUUUUCUGUGUUUUUCUCUUGUGGGGGACAUGGGAGCUGUUAAUCUCCUGCUCCCACAUUCGCUUAAUUUGUGUCACUAAAUCCAAACUGAGUUACAGACAUUUGAAAUGACAGGUGGAGGCAGUAGUGGAUUAAAAACUGUGAUGUAAAGUGACAGAUUUUUUUCUGUGGACAUUUGUGAGAUGGGGCAAGACAGAUACUGAACUUGGGAGGGUAACGUUCAAACUUGAACUAUAAAAACCUGUUCUACUUCAAAAUAUACAGCCUAUAAUAAUAUCCACUUAGAUAGAUAGAUUAUGUUGUUCUCAGAGCCUCUUGUGUUAACCUCUUGACCUUAUGUUUUGCAGUGAGUGGACAAUCACAACAACAAAGCAUCUGUGUGUGAGUACUUCAUGUUCUACACCAUGGAUGAGGAGCUUAGCUGCUCCACCUGAAGGGACACAAGAGGCAUCACAGACAUGCAGUGCAACCGGUGACCGAGCUCCAGUGAAAAAAGGGACAGUCUGAGCAGAUGGGCAUCACGUUUUCAGAGAGAGCGAGCGAGCCUCCGUGCCAUGGUGGUCACCAAUGGUGGUCAGCGCUGACUUGAGAUCACUGAAGAACCCAUAGUACUGCAUUUCACCUGCUCCAAGAGGAGAAACCCAGUCUUACUACAUCUGGCUCUGUGUUCUAUGGCUUCGAAAGACAUCGAUUAAGACAUUUUAUGGAGUAGAAAAGGUUGAGUUCUGAGAGUCGACUGAGUGGAGGGUCACAGGCGGGGAGUUCUGGGAAGACAGCAGGAACCCGACUGCCAACAAGGCCAGACUCAGCCCAGUACCUUUAUCAGGAAAAAAAGACACAAUUGACACAAACUGACUAACAAUACUCAUAUUGAUUAGGAACAAAUAAAGCCUGCACAUACAGUCAAUGCCCUUUUUCUCCCCUUGAAUUACGCUAAUGUUGCCUCUGGCUGGCAUUGCCCAGACAUGUUCUCAUGACUUAACCAUUUCAAUGCCAUGCGUUUCAUCGAUCAAUGGAAAAAAAAGAGUAAAGGAUGUGACGACACACAACACUGUAGUGCAGGCAUCACUGUCUCAAUAAAACGCAAAUAAAUGCAUUGA